CCCUUAGACGUUCUGGGCCGCACGCGCGCUACACUGACCAGUGCAACAAGCAUCCGUUCUUGGCCGACAGGCUCGGGCAAUCUUUGAACGCUGGUCGUGAUGGGGAUAGACUUUUGCAAUUUUUGGUCUUCAACGAGGAAUUCCUAGUAAACGCAAGUCAUCAACUUGCAUUGAUUACGUCCCUGCCCUUUGUACACACCGCCCGUCGCACCUACCGAUUGAAUGGUCCGGUGAAGCCUCCGGAUUGGCGCGCACCUCGGUGCCGCCGAGAAGUUGGCUAAACCUUACCAUUUAGAGGAAGGUGAAGUCGUAACA
rnacentral:rRNA from 1 species